AGGAUGGCGCGGGGGCUGGGGAGGGGCUAAGGGGUGGGGGCCUCUGUACCCCCUCCCCCCUCCGGUGAGUGAGGGCCUUGAGCGCCGCCCCAGAAGGAGUCGAGGGAAUGUUGCGGACUGGGGUACACCCGGGAGGGCAGAAACUGGAGGAAGCCAGAGACGUCGCCAGGGACCCAGGGCCCUCUCCUUCAGCUCCCCGGCCCGCCCAGCCCGCUGGCCACGCCCUCCGCAGCGCCCACCCUGUCCGUCCCGGGCCAGCAGCCUGACCCCCUGCCCCGCGCGCGCCGGCGCUGUCGCCCGGGAUCACUCGCUGCUCCUGCCCGCACUCCGGGGACGGCGCCCCCGGGCCCACUCGGAACCCGGCGCCUGCGCCCUCAGGGGGCCCCAACCCGCCCCUUUCCCCGAGGGCUGAGUUCGCGCCACUCCUGGAGUCCUUUGCGAAUAGAACAAACUUUUGAGUGGAUGAAAAUCAAGAGGAGUCCGCCCCGAGCAGAGCAUCCUUGAUCAGCCGGGCCCGUGUCAUCCACUCUGCUCAGCCGGGAAGGGAAGCGACACGUCCCAGCCUUGGUGGAGGAAGGCAGUGUGCCCAGAACAGCUGCUCGUCCCAGACUGGCACUGCAGGGCAGGAGGGGACCCAGCUCGCUGCACGGGCUCCAGACUCUCGGCGGGCGGAGCCAACAGCUGCAGCUGCAUCCCGGAGCCUGAUCCUGGAAUCGGCAUCUGCCUUUGGGCUCUCCUUGCUGCCCCAGCCUCGGCGCCACGCACUGGGGAGGGGUGGGGCCGGAGAGAAUAAUGGUGCUCCCCUUGUCCCUGAGCCUUCUCUGGGAAGCUGCUGGGACUUAGAAACUGCAGAUUGAGCCCUGGCCCGUGGCAACUUGAAGCAAAGUGAGAUUCUCUCCUGGGCAGAAGGAAAGGCAGGUGCUGGCUCCUACCUGCCUGCUCCCUGGCUCCUUGAUCCAUUUUGAGGGCACGUGGAGGUCAACAGCCUGCUCCGGCGGCGGAUGGGAAAUUAGCAUCUCUGACUGCACCAAAGGCUGGGAUUUUGCACAUCAAAGAAGAGGAGGCCUGCACCCAGGCCCACACCUGUUCUGCAGCCCCUCAAACCCAGCGGUGAUGCAAAGGUUUGCAGAGGCAGAAGAACAGAAGGGGAAAUGGGCAAUUUGCAAUUUGCUCCGUGCGGAAGGCAGUCGCUGCAGCUGCUCAUUUGGCUAACAUUUAUUUAGCACCUACUGUGUACAGAGCACACUAUCUCUACCUCAGUUUGCCAGGAGUAUCAAAAAGAUUGCUGCCCCUGGGAACUUUCAAUGUGUGGUGGACAGAAAAUAGAUAAACCAGUGGGGGAA